CCUGAACGCUGGCGGCGUGGCUAAGACAUGCAAGUCGCACGGGCCUCGCAAGAGGUCAGUGGCGAACGGGUGAGUAAAGAAUCGCUAACGUACCCCGGACUCUGGGAUAGCUACCCGAAAGGGUGGGUAAUACCAGAUGAUAUAACUUUCCUGCAUGGGAGGAGUUCUCAAAGGACCGCCGGCAACGGUAGGAACGGUCGUGGGAGGCGGGCGGAUUUCGUAUCAGCUAGUUGGUGAGGUAACGGCUCACCAAGGCGACGACGCGUAGCCGGACUGAGAGGUUGGCCGGCCACAUUGGGA
rnacentral:rRNA from 1 species